UACCAGCACCCCGAGCGGUCGGGACGAUUAUUGGGCCUAAAGCAUCCGUAGCCGGCCUUACAAGUCCUCCGUUAAAUCCAGCUGCUUAACAGAUGGGCUGCGGAGGAUACUAUAAGACUAGGAGGCAGGAGAGGCAAGCGGUACUCAGUGGGUAGGGGUAAAAUCCGUUGAUCCAUUGAAGACCACCAGUGGCGAAGGCGGCUUGCCAGAAUGCGCUCGACGGUGAGGGAUGAAAGCUGGGGGAGCAAACCGG
rnacentral:rRNA from 1 species